rnacentral:rRNA from 1 species
UACGGAGGAGGCGGGCGUUAUCCGGAUUUACUGGGCGUAAAGCGCUUGUAGGCGGCCUUGUAAGUUGGGCGUGAAAGCUCCGGGCUUAACCCGGAGAGGCCGUCCAAUACUGCGAGGCUAGAGGGUGCCAGAGGAAGGUGGAAUUCCUGGUGUAGCGGUGAAAUGCGUAGAUAUCAGGAGGAACACCCGUGGCGAAGGCGGCCUUCUGGGGCAUUCCUGACGCUGAGAAGCGAAAGCUAGGGGAGCAAACAGG